rnacentral:rRNA from 1 species
GUCUUUUUGAGUUAUUUUUAAAGUCUGACCUGCCCACUGAAUAUUUUUAAAUGGCCGCAGUAUUCUAACUGUGCAAAGGUAGCAUAAUCAUUAGUCUUUUAAUUGAAGGCUGGUAUGAACGGUUGGACGAAGUAUAAGCUGUUUCAUAUAAAAUUAUAUUAGAAUUUUAUAUUUUAGUUAAAAAGCUAAAAUAUUAUUAAAAGACGAGAAGACCCUAUAAAUCUUUAUAUUUAAUAUUAUUCAAAUUUUUUUGAUUAAUUUUAUUUUUAUAAUAUUAAAUAUUUUGUUGGGGUGAUAUUAAAAUUUAACAAACUUUUAAUUUUGAAUUAGAACAUUAAUUUAUGAAUAGUUGAUCCAUUAUUAAUGAUUAUAAGAUUAAGUUACUUUAGGGAUAACAGCGUANUUUUUUUUGAGAGUUCAUAUCGACAAAAAAGUUUGCGACCUCGAUGUUGGAUUAAGAUAUAUAUUUAGGUGUAGCCGUUUAAAUAUUAAGUCUGUUCGACUUUUAAAUUCUUACAUGAUCUGAGUUCAA